rnacentral:rRNA from 1 species
AUUGAACGCUGGCGGCAGGCCUAACACAUGCAAGUCGAACGAGUGGCGGACGGGUGAGUAAUGUCUUGGAAACUGCCCGAUGGAGGGGGAUAACUACUGGCAACGGUAGCUAAUACCGCAUACCAUCGGAUUUGCCCAGAUGGGAUUAGCUAGUAGGUGGGUUAACGGCUCACCUAGGCGACGCUCCCUAGCUGGUCUGAGAGGAUGACCAGCAACACUGGAACUGAGACACGGUCCAGACUCCGACGGGAGGCAGCAGUGGGGAAUAUUGAACAAGGGGCGCAAGCCUGAUGCAGCCAUGCCGCGUGUAUGAAGAAGGCCUUCGGGUUGUAAAGUACUUUCAGCGAGGAGGCGUUACUCGCAGAAGAAGCACCGGCUAACUCCGUGCCAGCAGCCGCGGUAAAC